CACCGCCCGUCACACCCUGGGAAUUGGUUUCGCCCGAAGCAUCGGACCAAUGAUCAUCCAUGACUUCUGUGUACCACUAGUGCCACAAAGGCCUUUGGUGGUCUUAUUGGCGCAUACCACGGUGGGGUCUUCAACUGGGGUGAAGUCGUAACAAGGUAGCUGUAGGGGAACCUGUGGCUG
rnacentral:rRNA from 1 species